rnacentral:rRNA from 1 species
CCUACGGGUGGCCGCAGUGGGGAAUAUUGGACAAUGGGGGAAACCCUGAUCCAGCGACGCCGCGUGAGUGAAGAAGUAUUUCGGUACGUACAGCUCUAUCAGCCGGAACGAAAAUGCCGGUCCCUGACUAAAACGCCCCGGCUAACUACGUACCAGCAGCCUCGGUAAUCAGUAGGGGGCAAGCGUUAUCCGGAUUUACUGGGUGUAAAGGGAACGUAGACGGCAGGGCAAGUCUGGAGUGAAAUGCCGGGGCCCAACCCCGGAACUGCUCUGGAAACUGUGAAGCUGGAGUGCAGGAGAGGGAAGCGGAAUUCCGGGUGUAGCGGGGAAAUGCGUAGAUAUCAGGAGGAACACCGGCGGCGAAGGCGGCUUACUGGACUGUAACUGACGUUGAGGCUCGAAGGCGUGGGGAGCAAACAGGAGUAGAUACCCCAGUAGUC